GACGAACGCUGGCGGCGUGCCUAAUACAUGCAAGUAGAACGCUGAAGAGAGGAGCUUACUCUUCUUGGAUGAGUUGCGAACGGGUGAGUAACGCGUAGGUAACCUGCCUUGUAGCGGGGGAUAACUAUUGGAAACGAUAGCUAAUACCGCAUAACAAUGGAUGACACAUGUCAUUUAUUUGAAAGGGGCAAUUGCUCCACUACAAGAUGGACCUGCGUUGUAUUAGCUAGUAGGUGAGGUAAUGGCUCACCUAGGCGACGAUACAUAGCCGACCUGAGAGGGUGAUCGGCCACACUGGGACUGAGACACGGCCCAGACUCCUACGGGAGGCAGCAGUAGGGAAUCUUCGGCAAUGGGGGCAACCCUGGCCGAGCAACGCCGCGUGAGUGAAGAAGGUUUUCGGAUCGUAAAGCUCUGUUGUAAGUCAAGAACGGGUGUGAGAGUGGAAAGUUCACACUGUGACGGUAGCUUACCAGAAAGGGACGGCUAACUACGUG
rnacentral:rRNA from 1 species